AUUGAACGCUGGCGGCGUGCUUAACACAUGCAAGUCGAUCGGUAACGCGGGGGCAACCCUGGCGACGAGAGGCGGACGGGUGAGGAACGCUUGGGAAUCUGCCCAUCAGCGGGGGACAACCCGGGGAAACCCGGGCUAAUACCGCAUACGCUCCACGGAGGAAAGCCGGGGACCGCACGGCCUGGCACUGAUGGAUGAGCCCAAGUCGGAUUAGCUAGUUGGCGGGGUAACGGCCCACCAAGGCGAUGAUCCGUAGCUGGUCUGCGAGGACGGUCAGCCACACUGGGACUGAAACACGGCCCAGACUCCUACGGGAGGCGGCAGUGGGGAAGGUUGGACAAUGGGGGAAACCCUGCUCCAGCGACGCCGCGUGGGUGAAGAAGGCCUGCGGGUUGUAAAGCCCUUUCGGUAGGGACGAAAGCUCUCGACCUAACACGUCGGGAGGUUGACUUAACCUACAAAAGAAGCACCGGCUAACUCUGUGCCAGCAGCCGCCGUAACAC
rnacentral:rRNA from 1 species